rnacentral:rRNA from 1 species
AGGUCACUGACAUUAGAUACCCGCGUAGUCCAGGGUGUAAACGCUGCAGACUUGGUGUUGGAGGCCCUUUGGGGCAUUCAGUGCCGGAGAGAAGUUGUUAAGUCUGCUACUUGGGAGUACGUCCGCAAGGAUGAAACUUAAAGGAAUUGGCGGGGGAGCACCGCAACGGGAGGAGCGUGCGGUUUAAUUGGAUUCAACACCGUAAACUCACCAGGGAAGACUGUUACAUGAAGGCCGAGAUGAAGACUCUGCUAGAUUUUCAG